AUUGAACGCUGGCGGCAGGCUUAACACAUGCAAGUCGGGCGAGCGGCGGACGGGUGAGUAAUGUAUGGGGACUGCCCGAUAGAGGGGGAUCACUACUGGAAACGGUGGCUAAUACCGCAUACUAUCGGAUAACCCAUAUGGGAUUAGCUAGUAGGUGGGGUAAAGGCUAACCUAGGCGACGAUCUCUAGCUGGUCUGAGAGGAUGAUCAGCAACACUGGGACGGAGACACGGCCCAGACUCCAACGGAGGAAGCAGUGGGGAAUAUUGCACAAUGGGCGAAAGCAGGAUGCAGCCAUGCGGCGUGUAUGAAGAAGGCCUUAGGGUUGUAAAGUACUUUAAGCUGGGAGGCGUUACCCGCAGAGGAAGCACCGGCUAACUCCGUGCCAGCAGCCGCGGUAAUUC
rnacentral:rRNA from 1 species